AUUAAAACGAUGAAGAAGGAAAGUAAUAUAAAUGAUGGUUUAAGAGAGAAGAGGAUGGUGUAAUCUCUUCACCUAUAUUUUAUAUGAAGUGCACUUUGGAGUUUAAAUCUGAAAUAACAGUAAGAUUCUACGGGAAUCGCCCGUUAUAGCGAAAGGGUAUUAUCUGUACCUGUAUUUGAGUUGGGAUUUAUUGAUUUAAAAUCCAAUUAGAGUGGAACCGCGAGUAUUAAUUCGUCUCUAAA
rnacentral:ncRNA from 1 species